GGAGAGGUGUCUGAGUGGUUGAAAGAGGCAGUCUUGAAAACUGCUGUGGGUUUUAUAUCCACCGGGGGUUCAAAUCCCUCCCUCUCCGCCA
rnacentral:tRNA from 1 species